UAACACCAGCGCCACAAGUGGGAAUCAGUAUUAUUGGGCCUAAAGCGUCCGUAGCUGGUCGAGUAAAUCUUUUGUGAAAUUGAUGAGCUCAACUUAUCAACGUGCAGAAGAGACUGCUCGACUUGAGACUGGGAGGAGUCAGGGGUAUAUUUGGGGGAGCGGUAAAAUGCUGUAAUCCUAAAUGGACCACCUGUGGCGAAGGCGCCUGACUAGAACAGCUCUGACAGUGAGGGACGAAAGCCAGGGGAGCGAACCGGAUUAGAUACCCGAGUAGUCCUGGCCGUAAACGCUGUGAACUAGGUGUUGCACAUUCUCCGUGAAUGUGCAGUGUCGAAGAGAAGUCGUUGAGUUCACCGCCUGGGAAGUAUGGUCGCAAGACUG
rnacentral:rRNA from 1 species